rnacentral:misc_RNA from 1 species
UCCGGUUUGGCACCGGCAGUCUCCCAUGAGUCCCCGGCAUAACCCGCUGGCAACAUGGGACAAGGGUUGCGCUCGUUGCGGGACUUAACCCAGCAUCUCACGACACGAGCUGACGACAACCAUGCACCACCUGUGCACCGACCUUGCGGGGCCACCAUCUCUGGCGGUUUCCGGUGCAUGUCAAGCCUUGGUAAGGUUCUUCGCGUUGCAUCGAAUUAAACCACAUGCUCCACCGCUUGUGCAGGCCCCCGUCAAUUCCUUUGAGUUUCGGUCUUGCGACCGUACUCCCCAGGCGGGGCGCUUAAUGCGUUAGCUUCGGCACGGACGGAGUCGACACCGCCCACACCUAGCGCCCAUCGUUUACGGCGUGGACUAC